UAUUGAAAAUUAAAUCAUGUAUAUAUAUGUGUGUGUGUGUGUGUGUGUAUAUAUACACACACAUACAUAUCAGUGCUAUGGUUAUAAAAUUUAUA
rnacentral:miRNA from 1 species